rnacentral:rRNA from 1 species
AACGAACGCUGGCGGCAGGCCUAACACAUGCAAGUCGAGCGCCCCAGCAAUGGGGAGCGGCAGACGGGUGAGUAACGCGUGGGUAUCUACCUAGUGGUGCGGAAUAGCCCAGGGAAACUUGGAGUAAUACCGCAUAAGCCCGAAAGGGGAAAGAUUUAUCGCCAUUAGAUGAGCCCGCGUUGGAUUAGCUAGUUGGUGGGGUAACGCCCACCAAGGCGACGAUCCAUAGCUGGUCUGAGAGGAUGAUCAGCCACACUGGGACUGAGACACGGCCCAGACUCCUACGGGAGGCAGCAGUGGGGAAUAUUGGACAAUGGGCGCAAGCCUGAUCCAGCCAUGCCGCGUGAGUGACGAAGGUCUUCGUAUUGUAAAGCUCUUUUGGCGGGACGAUAAUGACGGUACCCGCAGAAUAAGCCCCGGCUAACUUCGUGCCAGCAGCCGCGGUAAU